rnacentral:tRNA from 1 species
GAGAAAGAAAAAAGAACUGCUAACUCUUUAUACCAUAUUUAAUCAUAUGGCUUUCUUA